AGUGAACGCUGGCGGUAGGCCUAACACAUGCAAGUCGAACGGCAGCACAGUAAUAGCUUGCUCUUACGGGUGGCGAGUGGCGGACGGGUGAGGAAUACAUCGGAAUCUACUUUUUCGUGGGGGAUAACGUAGGGAAACUUACGCUAAUACCGCAUCCGACCUACGGGUGAAAGCAUGGGAUCUUCGGACCUUGCGCGAUUGAAUGAGCCGAUGUCGGAUUAGCUAGUUGGCGGGGUAAAGGCCCACCAAGGCGACGAUCCGUAGCUGGUCUGAGAGGAUGAUAAGCAACACUGGAACUGAGACACGGUCCAGACUCCUACGGGAGGCAGCAGUGGGGAAUAUUGGACAAUGGGCGCAAGCCUGAUCCAGCCAUACCGCGUGGGUGAAGAAGGCCUUCGGGUUGUAAAGCCCUUUUGUUGGGAAAGAAAAGCAGCAGGUUAAUACCCCGCUGUUCUGACGGUACCCAAAGAAUAAGCACCGGCUAACUUCGUG
rnacentral:rRNA from 1 species